rnacentral:sRNA from 1 species
UGUUCAGGGCUAAUAAAGUGCACAUGCGUAUCAAUUCCGCCUGUAGUUACAAUGCGACCUUCUGCUGCGAUGACAUCUGUUGAAGCGCUAAUAAUGAUAUCAACGUCAUCCAUAAUGUCUGGAUUACCCGCUUUACCUAACUUCAUAAUACGACCAUCUUUCACACCAAUAUCACAUUUAAUCACUUUGUUAUAAUCAAUGACCACCGCAUUGGAAAUGACAAGAUCUGCAACUUGUGGAUGUGCUCUUGUAGCAUUUGGAUUUUGACCCAUACCAUCAC